CUCUUUGGUUAUCUAGCUGUAUGAGUGUUAUUGAGCUAUCAUAAAGCUAGAUAACCGAAAGU
rnacentral:pre_miRNA from 15 species